rnacentral:rRNA from 1 species
UGUUUCGGCUAGGGGGUCAUCCCGACUUACCAACCCGAUGCAAACUGCGAAUACCGAAGAAUGUUAUCACGGGAGACACACGGCGGGUGCUAACGUCCGUCGUGAAGAGGGAAACAACCCAGACCGCCAGCUAAGGUCCCAAAGUCAUGGUUAAGUGGGAAACGAUGUGGGAAGGCACAGACAGCCAGGAUGUUGGCUUAGAAGCAGCCAUCAUUUAAAGAAAGCGUAAUAGCUCACUGGUCGAGUCGGCCUGCGCGGAAGAUGUAACGGGGCUAAACCAUGCACCGAAGCUGCGGCAGCGACACUAUGUGUUGUUGGGUAGGGGAGCGUUCUGUAAGCCGUUGAAGGUGGCCUGUGAGGGUUGCUGGAGGUAUCAGAAGUGCGAAUGCUGACAUAAGUAACGAUAAUGCGGGUGAAAAACCCGCACGCCGGAAGACCAAGGGUUCCUGUCCAACGUUAAUCGGGGCAGGGUGAGUCGACCCCUAAGGCGAGGCCGAAAGGCGUAGUCGAUGGGAAACAGGUUAAUAUUCCUGUACUUGGUGUUACUGCGAAGGGGGGACGGAGAAGGCUAUGUUAGCCGGGCGACGGUUGUCCCGGUUUAAGCAUGUAGGCGGAGGUUCCAGGUAAAUCCGGUACCUUUUUAACGCUGAGGUGUGAUGACGAGGCACUACGGUGCUGAAGUAACAAAUGCCCUGCUUCCAGGAAAAGCCUCUAAGCAUCAGGUAACACGAAAUCGUACCCCAAACCGACACAGGUGGUCAGGUAGAGAAUACCAAGGCGCUUGAGAGAACUCGGGUGAAGGAACUAGGCAAAAUGGUGCCGUAACUUCGGGAGAAGGCACGCUGAUAUGUAGGUGAAGUGAUUUACUC